rnacentral:rRNA from 1 species
GGGGACCCGCAAGCGGUGGAUGAUGUGGAUUAAUUCGAUGCAACGCGAAAAACCUUACCUACCCUUGACAUGUACGGAAUCCCGCUGAGAGGUGGGAGUGCUCGAAAGAGAACCGUAACACAGGUGCUGCAUGGCUGUCGUCAGCUCGUGUCGUGAGAUGUUGGGUUAAGUCCCGCAACGAGCGCAACCCUUGUCCUUAGUUGCUACCCGCAAGGGAGCACUCUAGGGAGACUGCCGGUGACAAACCGGAGGAAGGUGGGGAUGACGUCAAGUCCUCAUGGCCCUUAUGGGUAGGGCUUCACACGUCAUACAAUGGUCGGUACAGAGGGUCGCCAACCCGCGAGGGGGAGCUAAUCUCAGAAAACCGAUCGUAGUCCGGAUUGUAGUCUGCAACUCGACUGCAUGGAGCUGGAAUCGCUAGUAAUCGCGGAUCAGCAUGUCGCGGUGAAUACGUUCCCGGGGUCUUGUACACACC